ensembl:lncRNA
GCUGAACAUAAUGAGGAUCACCAUCAGGCUAGCCUUGGAGGAAGCCCCUAAAGCAUUCAACCCAAGGCCUGGUUCUUUACCCAGCCUUCCCCUCCCAUGGUGCCUGUGAAGAUUCCAGCAUCAUGAGAAGCCCAAAAGAACACAGGAAAAGACAAACAGAAGAUCCUUAAGGAACAUACAAGUUGGAUCAGGCAUCAGGCAGAGUCCGUUGCUGCUUUCCUGCAACUUCCUUCUUCUCCAUCCCUCCUGGCUGCCUACAGAGGAAUGAGGGAAGUCUGGAUAAACAAGGCCCCCUUCUGGGAGAACAGGGCCUCACUUGAAGACAGAGCAAGAAGGACAGCUGCCAACACAUGGAACCACCUGAGAUGUUUACACAUCGCAUCCUGGAGAGACACCAGCCCCAGGAGAACACCACAGGCCCCACCUUGGCAGCUUCCAGCUUUCCUGAGGCUAAGGGAAGUCUGCAGCCUUUUUCAGUGAAGCUGACAUUGUUCCCUGGCUAGAGCAGCCCUGCUCCCAGAUGCAAAGUUUAAUAUGCUUUUUUCACUCGAGUAACCAAAGCAUUUCUGAUGCAUUGCUUUUCAUGAGGUCCUGGCAGUGUAUCAGCUGAGCCAUUUCCUGAGGCCUCUCCUACUUUCUGCUCCAGUUCACACUUCC